CUUUCCCUAGACGACGCUCUUCUGCUCUGAUUGGUCAGCUGGCCCCACUCUGUUGUGAUUGGUCAACUAAACCAAACUCUUCAGACUCGGCUUCAGCUCCGCUCUGACUCGCUUCGUUUGAGGGCGUACCAAUGUAGCUGCUAGGCUGGUAUUAUGCAAAUGUGUUACUUGGUGACAUCACCACGUUACAUAAGAAAAGGCGGGACUUCAAGCGAGGCAUUUCAGGAGCAGUGUUUCUGUGGGGGAGGGUAUCGCGUGGACUUCGCAGACCUUUUUACAUGCACAAAAAAAAUAAUAUAUAACACACUAAAGGAAAGGGAAAAAGCACAAUAGGUCCUCUUUAAAGAGAAACAUUUUCUCUUAAAAAGGAUCUUAAUCUUUCUAUUUACAAGCUCCUUGAACGGUGCAGGAACAUCAAGUUCCACAGCAAAACCACCAAAGCCGGUUGUUUGUAAAAAACUGUGGCAGAUGACAAUGAGAAAACACAAAAGGACAUUAACCUGUGGGGUGAGAUAGUACGGAGUGUGACACUUUUUUUUUUUUUUUUGUAACAGAACAGCAUUAAGUGAAAUCUCCAGGCAGCAUGUACCGGUCUCUUAACUGCUCCCGCCUUGUCCAUAUUGACUUGAUUCAUGAGGCCAUUGAGCCUUGCCGCAGCAAAUUGCUUUUUCUCCCAUAAUGCCCUGCUGGUAACUGCGUGGCAUUGUGGUCAGCGGAAUCUCAUGCAGCCCUGAUGUUCAAAUAUAUCUAAUGAGAUUCAGCCUGCACAUGUCACCGGCUCGCCUCUCUCUCUCUCUCUCCUACUCCCCUGCGUCUGAGUUUUAAAUCUCAACUAAAAUGGUGAUGUGUCUUCUAAACAAUUAUCUGCUGGCAACCAAUAUAGUCGG